GUCGGAGUGGCGGAAUUGGCAGACGCGCAGGCUUGAGGGGCCUGUGGCCGCAAGGCUGUGGAGGUUCAAGUCCUCUCUCCGACA
rnacentral:tRNA from 1 species